rnacentral:rRNA from 1 species
GACGAACGCUGGCGGCGUGCUUAACACAUGCAAGUCGAACGGUAAGGCCCUUCGGGGUACACGAGUGGCGAACGGGUGAGUAACACGUGGGUGAUCUGCCCUGCACUUCGGGAUAAGCCUGGGAAACUGGGUCUAAUACCGGAUAUGACUCCGGCCUGCAUGGUCUGGGGUGGAAAGCUUUUGCGGUGUGGGAUGGGCCCGCGGCCUAUCAGCUUGUUGGUGGGGUGAUGGUCUACCAAGGCGACGACGGGUAGCCGGCCUGAGAGGGUGACCGGCCACACUGGUACUGAGAUACGGCCCAGACUCCUACGGGAGGCAGCAGUGGGGAAUAUUGCACAAUGGGCGCAAGACUGAUGCAGCGACGCCGCGUGAGGGAUGACGGCCUUCGGGUUGUAAACCUCUUUCAGCAUCGACGAAGCGAAAGGGACGGUAGGUGCAGAAGAAGGACCGGCCAACUACGUGCCAGCAGCCGCGGUAA